AUAGGUUAACGCCCCCCUCCCCCCACAAAAAAAAGGGUUUCAUCUCUUCAAGCAGGGCAGGCCGAGCCACAGGUUCCUCCGCACCCUCGGCCUUCCCUCCCCUCACCAGUUUCCAGCCGCGAGCGAACCCGACGCGAGUGCGGUUCGAGGGAGAGAGAAGAGGGGACUAGCACCAUGGCCGCCAGGCUGCUGCUCCUCUCCUUCGAUUGCCCGGCCGUCGCUGGCGGGCGGCGGUCUCGUCUGUCUGCAGUGCCACGGAUGUCUUCCGGUGCUCCCCUCGUGCGGCCCCCAGCCUCAUCCGUCGGCGCGUUCGCGGUCACCGCCGCUAGAGGCAACCUGCCGCACCACACCUCCGUGGUUGUGGAGGGUGGUGGAGUUUACACUGUUCGUGACUUUAUGACUAAAAGGGAACAACUCCAUGUUGUGAAACCAUCCACUUCAGUAGAUGAAGCUCUUGAGAGGCUGGUGGAGCAUCGAAUAACUGGCUUUCCUGUUACCGAUGAUCACUGGAAUUUGGUUGGUGUGGUCUCAGAUUAUGAUCUGUUAGCACUGGACUUGAUAUCAGGAAAUGGACAGGCUGAAGCGGACAUAUUUCCUGAGGUGGACAGCACUUGGAAGACUUUCCAUCAGAUACAAAAGCUCUUAAGCAAAACCAAUGGGAAAGUAGUUAGUGAUGUUAUGACUUCUGCACCUCUUGUGGUGCGUGAAACUACUAACCUUGAAGAUGCUGCAAGGUUACUUCUUGUUACUAAAUACCGCAGGCUGCCAGUAGUCGACAGUUCGGGCAAAUUGGUUGGAAUCAUCACAAGAGGGAACGUCGUCAGAGCUGCUCUUGAGUUUAAGAAAAAUGUUGAAGGGAGUAUUUGAAGUGGAACUGUAGAUGAUCCUUUCCGAAGGUGGAACUUGAACAUAUUGCUAGUAGGCAAGCAUACUGAAAAAAUUGUUUACACAACAUGCUAGUUUAAUUGCAGUUGGGAUACAUGUAUUGUGAGCAUCAUGCAUCAUCCUUAAAUUUCAAAAUUUUGAAUUGAGGGAAUUUUCAAAGCCUCUGCUAAAUAAAGGGCAAAGAACCCAAAAAAAUGCAUUCAAUGUUUCAAAAAUGCCUUUAAAAUAGUUCUAAGAAUUUUGGCGAGUUAUAUAUCAAACCAAAAUUUAGGAACAUUUUUGAGGAAUUAUUUUUGGGACUUUGAAUUUAAAUGAUAUUGUAUUUGUAUUUGUAUUUAUAUUAUAUAAUCAGAAUAUAAUUUCAAAUAAUUUAUGUGCCUUUGGAUAAUUCUACUGUGCAACAUAAAAAUAUUCAGGGGAAUUUUGUCACUGGGUUUGAAUUUGUUAUAUUUGAAAACAAUGACAAAAGAAAUAAAUAAAAGAAAACAUAAAGAAAAUAAGGAAAAGCAGAAAUUGUACCUGGUUUACCUGUGCGGCCUAGAACUGUUGUAGUUGGGGCCCAACCCAACUCCCCGUCGUCCCCUACCUCUUAGUAGGAGCAGCUGCGUGUGCGCACGCGCACGCUCACGUCCACCUCCUCCUUGCUUGCUUUCCCGCCCAUGCCUCCUCUAUCCUCUUCCUCGCUCUCUAGCCCUUUCGUCUUUCCUACUGCUCUCUCUCUCUCUCUCUCUCUCUCUCUCAGCCUUGAGCACCCUCAGAGAGCAUUGUCACAGUUCAUUGCAGCCAUCGUGCAACCCACGCCUCGCCUACAUGUCCCCGAGCUCUGCGUCGACUUCGCGCGCCUCUUCGCCCAAUCACGCAAGGCCGGACGCCCGGAAGCGUCGCCAUUGAGCUCGUCCCUGCCGCCUCUGCUCGAAGACCGCUGGCGUUGAUCCAUUGUCUCCAGCGUCUCCUCCGCCACAUCGAGCAUCUCUUUGUGAUCGUUGUGAGCUCCUCUACCGCUUCUCUCUCUCUCCCCGUGCUCGAUUGUGUUGCAUAGCCGUUGCUUCCAUCAAGCCCGAUAACUCCUCGCCGUCGGCUUUGAUGUUGACGUAGCCACAGCCGCCAUCACUUGCGUUUGAGUACUGGAAUGUGCUCGGCACCUCCCUAGCAACCCGCGGAGCCCGGAUACGCUCCGUAGUGCCAAACUGAGCAUACCCAUAGCUCCAGCCGCCGCAUACCUCAGCGCCGGCGCUGUUUUCGGCCACUUCAAGUUGCAUCGCCAUGAUGUGCCUAUUCAUUCAUGCUUGCUUGUUAUGCCCGCUAUGCUUAGAGUUGUGUCAGGUCUGAUUCAUCCGGGAUGAAUUGGAAUGAUGGUGAACAUGUCUUACUGUGUGAGGGCUAAAUGUGUGAACACGGUUUGGUAAAAGUAGCAAUGAGAGGCCAUGUAGAAGUGCAUGGUGGGUUGUCUCAUUGAGACCGUCUUUAAGAACUGAGUCAUGUGUAUGUUAUCCAAGAACAACUAUUACCACACAUUGGGCCCUGAAAUAUGACCCCACUCGACUUAUUAAUCGCCUUGAUCUCUGUCCAAGAGUUAUAACCAGUUUCUAGUGUUUAUUGGUUGUGCUAGGGGCCGUGCUUAGCGCUGACCGAAGGGGUAGGCUUUGAUGUGGCAGGCACUUUGGCACGGUGUACCAAGCGUAGUACCAUCCGACGAGGUGGACUUGGGAACCCUAUACACAUCGUUUGAGGUCGUAAUGGAAACAUCGGUCGGACUUCCAUUGCAGAGGAGACUUCAGGCUCAUUAGUAAUUCCACAUGGGCUUGGAUGAGUAGCUUGGGAAUCCCAGACGGAGGUAUGGUUUCUUUGGAGGAUCUUGUAGGUAGACGAGCUUCUAGCCUUCUUUCUUUCCAGCCGUCUGUCCUCAGACAGGUUUAUGCUUCGCUUGUUGCUUGUAUGACUUUGUAUGUUGGGUCAUGAGACCCAUGUUUGUAAUAUCAUGUUUUAUAUAUUCCAAAAUAAUUCUCCAUUGAUUUUUA